rnacentral:lncRNA from 1 species
AAUCAUCAGAAGUCAGGUUAAAAUUCCAAUAAAAUUUCAAUUUCCCUUCAAACUUCAAAUUUCAUGAAUAUUUAAGUCAUUGAGUUGUGGCUUUUCAUGAUUUACUCAAUUCAAAAUGGUAAUUGCUUGCAAUGAACCAAAGGGGUCAUACCUUAAACAACGGAUUAAGGUUGCUUUGAAUGGCUUUAGCGAAUUUCCUUUUUAGAGAUUCUGCAUUUGAAUUGUAUCCUUUCUUUAAAACUACAAAUAUAAUCAGUUGUUCUGGGCCUCCAUGUGCAGGUGCAACACUGAUUGCAGCUGUUUCCAAAAUGCCUUCAUCUGCCCUAUCACAGACACGCUCAAUUUCUACAGAACUUGUCUGCAUAUCAGAACAUAAAAAUCCAGGUAAAAUAACAGUCAGACCAAGGAUGUCAAGGUAGGAAUUUAUGAAUUUCUGAUGAAUCCAUGGUCAGUAACAAGUAGUUUCCAUUCUUAUUAAUUUAUGCUGGACAUUGACAUGGAAAGAUAUAGGAUUAUUACACCAUGUGUAUCCAAGAACUGGGAGAAGGAGAAAAAAACAUAAAUAUAGCUGGAGAUGAGGUACCUUUAUUCCACCAAGAUUCAUUGUGUCAUCAGCCCUCCCUUGUACAACGAAAUAGCCUUCGGCAGUUCUUUUGAUUAUAUCUCCAUGUCUUCUAAGAACCUGCUUAUAACAUAUUACAGAUGACAAAUUAUGGAUAAUAAACCAGUUUAAGAAGUAGAUGAGAAUAACAACAUAAUAUGAGUAGGUAACAUCACAAUUCACAACAUAGUCUAUUAAGUUACCGUGUAACUUACAAUGGGACUAAUUGAAAACCUUUAUGAAGAUAUUGAUCACUUACGUAGGCAUAACAGUGUUUGAUAAACAUCCUAAGUCGAUAGUUAAAGGGUAAUCUUAUCCUCUCUAGUUUCUUUCUUUCUUUUUUGGAUUUUAUGUGUGCAAUUCGGUCAGUGUGUGUUCGUACAGUAAGACACCAAACAAGCAUUAUGAUGUAUUGAACCAAUUGAUUCUGGACCUUUAAAAAGCCAUUAGGAUGCAAGAAAAGCCACAAAAUACCUUCAGAUCUGAAUUACUAUUGCAAGAUAGCAAUAACUGAAUGUUAAAAUAAUGUCACGUUGGAAAUAGGAUAAUUGAAGUAUAUACCUUUCCUUUGUACAUUGGCAUUCCCUUAAAGUAAACCUCAUCAUUAUCAGCAUUAAGCAAUCUAUCAGUUGCUCCCAUAUAAAUAGGAAACAAGCCCACUUCACCAACACAGGCAACAUCCUCUGGCUGUCACAUUGGUCAAAUAGGUCAAACAAAUUAGAAAGCCUAAAAAAUAAUUUGUCUAUCCCAAAACGAAAUGGAAUCCACUUGGUAAGAGUAAAAAUUCUUAAAGACUUGAGAGAAUUGAAAAUUUGUAACAACACAAACAAACACACACAUACAAUCUCAAGAUUUUGAGAUCAAUAUUUCCAUUUAGCCUUAUUGGUUCAAAGUCUGGAUUAUGUAACAACUAACAAGCACUUGACAUCCAUUAUCCAUUGCAACAACAAAAUUAUAGAUAAGUAUUGACACGGUGAAAGAGGUCUCAAGUCGUUGGCAAAAUACUAAAUAGUUAGUAUCAUAUGAUCAAAUAAACUACCGAGAAAAUAUUCUUACAUAAGGAACUCCAUUUUCGUCAAGGAUGACCAAACCAGUUGUCAUUGAUGGUGUACUAAAUGUUCCAAAAGCUUGGGGCUGCAGUGGACUUCCCAUGAGGUAAGAAGAUGCAAGCUCAGUGCCUCCACAACAUUCAAUGAUUGGUUUGUAAUAAGACCUCGAAGAAAGCCAGAGGUCAUCAUCAACAUUUGAAGUUUCUCCAGUCGAACAAAAUGUUCUGCAUAUAACCUCAGUUUAGUUCAGUUUUUCAUUUGUUACUUGAUGGUUCAAACUAACAAGAACUUACUUUAUCUUUGUCCAAUCCAAGCCCUCCAUGCAUUGUGUAUUCUUCCACGUUUUUACUAAGCUCGGAACUGUUCCCAAAAUAGUAACACCUGCAUCCUGAACAAUUGCAGUUGAAUGGUCUUUCAGCAAUGUAUCAAAUUCUAUUGAUGCAGAAUACAACAUCACCUACAACAGUUAGUACUACGCUCAUGUUUUAUUGCUGCGUUUAUGUUUGAUUCACCUCAUCCAGAAGCAACCUCUUUGUAGCUAACUCAGGUUCUAGCAACGAAAAUCUUGCCUUCUAAAAGGUUAUUUUUCCCUUACAUUCAGGACUAGAGUACAGGGGUUCAUUUUCCACUAGAAGCACCUAGUCGUUGAAGCUCAGCCAAAUAACUGCACAAGGACAACUCAUUUUUCUCUUUUCUUUUACCAUAACAGAAUUACAUAACUUAACAUUCUAUGGACAUAGCUCACCGACACAAUACUUUUUUUGUCAUCACAAACUUCAUCUUAGUAAUUCUAUUUUAUGAGACAAUUUCUUAGAAAACUUCUUUUUACCUUGUUUUGACAUCAGCGUGGCCUACAUAUGCAAAUUGUUUUCACACAGGAUAGGAAUGUUCAUGAGCUAUGCCACUGUAGAUGACACUAACUUGCAACCAUUUCCCUCUACAUCCCACUGCAUCAUAGUACUUCAUUGCAUCCAUAAUUUGGAAGAAAAAUCAACUAGCCUAGUAUAGUUCCCAUUCAGUCCUGCUACUAGUCAGUAUGUAUUUUAUUUAGCAUACUGUCACAAAGUCUUAAGUGAUUAAACGUUAAUCACAAAUAAUGACCAUGUUAGUGUGGGUUUAGUGUAGGCUAAACCUUCCCAAUCUUAAUAUUUUAUUAUUAUUUGUAUUUAUCGUACACAUUUAUUAAUUUUUAGAAAAAAUUUAGUGUGAGUUUUACGUUUAUUACACCCACGCUUGUUUUGGUAUUUUAUUUUUUAAAAAAUGUUAGUGUGGGUUAAACCUUCACAAUCUUAAUAUUUUAUUAUUAUUUUUUAUGUGUGUGCUUGUUUAGCGGAUGCAAUACAUUAUUAUUAUUUUUUUUAAAUAUCUAGCGUGAGCUUUAUAUUUACUAAACCCACACUAGUUUUAUUUAUUUAUUUGUUAGAAAAACUUAGUGUAGGCUUUACGUUAACUAAACUCAUGCUAUUUUAAUUUUUUUUCUCUCUUUCAUUUAUAGAAGGCUUGGCCCUCACUAUUAGCAGCCACUCUAUAGCCUUCACAAUUUAUUAGCAGCUAAUUCAACAUUUUCUUGUAGUGCAUGUUGUUAUGUUAAUCACAAAUAUAUAGGAACUGAAAUAUUAGAGUUGGACAAAUACCUGAACGAAUUUUCCAAAACCAUGGCCUAGAGGAGAUCCAUGGUACAGAGCAAGAGUUGCACCGGAUAGAAAGCAUGAAUAUAUAAGAGUUGGGCCCAUCACCCAUCCUAAAUUUGUUGGCCAGCAAUAGACAUCUCCAGGUUGAAUAUCAACAAAAGCCCAUCCAUCUGCAGCACUUCUUAUGGGUGAAAGUUGAGUCCAAGGAAUUGCUUUUGGCUCCCCUGAAAAUUAAAAAUGUAACUAGAAAAUCAUUAUAAUGGGAGUUUCUUAUUGAUGUGUUUCACUGUUCAAGGCAGAAUCUUUACCUGUGGUUCCAGAUGAAAACAGUAUGUUAGUGACAGAAUCAAUUAAUUGAUAGAAUGGAGUGUAGUGAUGUGACCUGCCACGAUUUAAUUGUUAAGGUGAGACAAAACACGAGAAAUAUUGCAACUUCUCUCAGCCCAUUUUUUCUGUUUAUGGGAUCUCUAGUAAUGACUAUUUUAGACACAUAAUAAUAGACACAUUUUAAUGUAUACAUUACCUGGGAUGCUGUCUGCUAGAAGAAAGAAAAUCCUUCCAUGAUAAAUCACAUUCUCUUAAUUGCACACCUAGAUCAUCACCUAUCACAGGAAGCGCGAUAACUUUACAUGCAGCUGCCUCAAUGACUCGACUGCAAGGAGAAAUAAGCAGAAUGAGCCGGUGUUCUAUAUGUAAAAGGAACAACCUUAAAUUUAUCUAGCAUAAGCUACAAGAAAGCUUGAAAUAUUCUAAGUUUUGCUUCGUAAGCAUUACGCUUUCUUAUAGUUUAUGCUAGGAAAUGAGACAUUCCAAGUAGAAGAAUCGUAUUGAAGGAGAAUUGAAGAAGUACCAAAGUUAUGCUUUAUGAAUGGAAGAGACAGAUGCAUACUAAGCAUCCAUCUAGCAUAGAAAAGAACAAACUAUUCACCUGAUAAGGUUUUUGGUACUUGGCCAGUCCUGGAACCAACUAAGACACUGGUUCAAGGUCCUAUAUUUAGUCUAUUUAAGUAGAACUGGUACAAUUCAAUGACAUUAUUUCAAUUUUUACAUAAAGUAUUAAUUAAUAUUAAGCAAAACAUAAUAUAAUUACAAUUUUAAAGAAAAUGCAAAUGGCAUUACUUAUAACUGAUAAUAUUCAAAAUUAAACAUGAAACCAAAUCAAAUAUGUCAUAACAUAUACAAUACCAUAUAUAUUAACUACCACGAUUUGAACCAGACUAACUGAUUUCACACCAGCUCUCAGUAAGAUCAGUUUUAAGAGUUGAGCAAAGAAAUUGGUUAGAACUGUUACUUUGGUCUGGUCCCAUUCUGACAAUUGUGCUUGAUAGAAUCCUUAGAAUCAGAAAAGGUAGUAUGCAAAAAAGAUGACUUGAGUUUAAGAUAUCAAUUUUAUUUCAUAAGUAAAAAAUAUAAUUUUGCCACAAUAUUCUUUUAUUAUGGUCCCAUUAAAUAUCUAUUAACUAGACUCACGCGUAUAAAAAGUUCCAUUGAGGCAUUUAAGAGAAAAAAAUAAGGGUUCUACAAAAACAUUAUUUCAUUCAGCUUGACUCCUAUAUUCUAAUAGAAUGACUUUUCUGUGUUCCAUAACAGAUUGAGUUUUCCUAACGUUGCCCAACCAUGUAUAUCCAUGCUCAAAUGCAAAAACUUCUCACCAGCACGUGGACCAUUGGAUUGAACUCAAACCCAAGUAGCAAAAAGGAACAUGCCAUUGGAACAUUUAUGAAAUGAUUGUUAUAUAACAAUACUAUAACAAAUAUUGAGCUGGUAAUUGUGCCAAAAGUUAAGGAUUUCUGAACAGAUAAACUAGAUAAUAUGAUCUGCAUAAUGCAACAAUAUGGAAAAUAAUUACCUGUACAGAGGGAAAUUCCUGCCACCUCUUGAUAUGAAAUCCUGAAACAAAUUCAAGCUGAGUAAAUUAACAGUUCGAAUUUAUCUUUGAAAGUUCAUCAUGUAAGUGCUUAUAUUAAAGAUCCUAAAUGUGAGGACAGCUAGGAUCAAACUCUUUACCACUGGACCAGGAUAGUUUUAGACCAUGUCAAGGAUCCGUUCUCCUAAAAGCUUAAUCUAUAUGUUUUUAUAUCUAAAGAAGAUUCCAAAGGAGCAUCUACAAUUUAUUUUACAAGAAUAUAUUUUUCUGUCUCACUCCUUAAACAAGAGUACUAUAUGUUCAACACUUAGAAUUUGGACUUGGGUCCAACUCAACUCUAAAAAGUUAGCUCAUGAGGUGAGGAUUGUUACUCCACUUUUAUAUAUUUGUGUGUGUGGGUGUGUACGUGUGUCAUGAGGUGAGGAUUGUUCCUCCACUUUUAUAUAUAUGUAAAAUGAAAUUUCUAACACGCUCCAUUUAUGUUCAAAAUUGAACAUUUCGAGUGGGAUAUUUACAAGACUGGAUAUCUCGUAUAGUCUGAUAAUAGAUCAUCCAAAAGGCAAAUGCGAGGAGAGAAGAAUCUGGACACAAAAUUUAACUUAAUCUCAUAAAAUUUAUUUGUAAAGUGAGAGCUGCUUAAGCCUUGUAAGGGCUACAUAAGACAUAUAUCUAACUAAUGUGGGAUCUACAGCCAUAUUUGUAAAAUAUGCAAUAACAAUGAAAAUUUCAAAAUUGUUCAAUAUUUCAACAUUCAUAAGAUUCAUGAUUUCAACAUAUUCUUCAAUAUUUUGAUCUUUAUAACUCCAGGUAUAAACAAAAGUAGUUUGAAUAUUUGAGAGUACUAUUACAACUUGUUUCUAUAAUUCUAUUAGAUGAAAGAUCUAAAACAGACGGAACUAGGAAGCCAGGAUCAUGGCAUUGAACCUAACCCUAUGAAGGAACUAUACAACUGGGUAUAAUAAACGAUAGUUUCAAGAACCAAAUAUCUUAAAGCUUCAGCUAUAAAGCACAAGCACAAUAAUAGUUUUUACGUUUAAAAUAUCCUUUCGUGAGAACCAUUUGAGAUUGAAGCACAAAAGUACUAUUGCAGUCUGACCUUUUGGUGAAAUUAUAAUUUAAUUAAAGGAAUUUGUCAGUGAGGACAUAACUCUUGACCAUUUGGUAGAACAGUCUCCUAAAAGUUUAAUUUGUCAGGUGCAAGCCCAGAAACUUUAAUUUCUAACAGAUAGAUGGGAAUAUUACAAAAUGUAAUAACAAUAUAUGACAAGAUCAUCCAUGUAAUUAUCAGUUUAUAAUUUGGAUAAUUGCUAUGCUACUUUUAGGCUGUGAGUGUGAAAGUGCUUGACUAAAAGGCAGGAAGCCUGGGAUAACCAUCAUCUUCAUCUAGAACUCAAAUAUAUGUUCAUUAUCUGUUCAGAUUUAUCAUAUGGCUAGACAUAUUAAGAUUUCAUUCACUUAGUGUCCUAAUUGAUUUUUGCUUAACUUCAUUUAAAACUCUCUGCAUUAUGAAAUCUAAUUUAAUAAGCACAUUUUAAUCACUAAAACUGCUACCAACAUGGUUGUUAAUUUCUGUCAACUCCUUGCAUGCCACCCUUUAACACACGACAUACAGCUUUCAAUGCAGCUACUGUUCUAACUAAUUCAUAUUUAUUAAAACCAUGACUAAUAAGUUUACCGAAAAAAGGUCCAAAUUAUUUUAACAAGUUCUACCUGAAUUAGGUAUCCGUGAACAUCGACUGUAGGUUGAAUCUCAUCAAAUAAGAAACAUUUAAUGAAAUUAAUUUUUUUAAGCCAUAAGAACAAUUUAGUAAUUUUAGCAUUGCUUCACACACACUGAACCCUAUAACACGCAGAAAUUGGUAACUAGGAGAGAACAAAAACAAUAUCGAUUGAAUAGUCCACUUUGAAGAAUAACAGGUUACUAUUAAAGUCAUAAACAAUACCAAAUUUUAAACAUCACCUGAGUGAAAAUACCCUUUGCUUUGGAAACACGCAGGCGAGUUGCAAUUUCUUUUGGUGCAAAGCUAUCAGCUAUUGAUACCACAACACAUCCUGCUAGAACAAUGGCUAGAUAUAUAAUCACUGCAUUGACUGUCAUUUGCAUGUCAAUUGCGAUUGCAUCUCCUUUCGAAAAUGAGGCAUCUAUUGCAUUCGCUACCAACCUGGAAAAAACACAGCAAAAACUAUGAAAAUUACUGCAACAAUAAAAAACAAAAGGGAGAGUGUGAGUUGAAAGGCCUACAUUACUUGUUGUCGGAGUUGUUUAAGCGUGAUACCAUUAACCUCGGAAUCAUCAAAACCUUCAUUUCUCCAAACGAUGGCUAAACUGUCAUCUGGUUUGUAGGGAUGUGAACUGGGCUGCACACAGCAAUCAGCAAUGUUGAGGACAGAACCGGGAAGCCAGGUCCCUCCAUGUCUAGAAGGGUCAGAAGUAUCCAAAAUGCACUUGGGAGGUUCAACAAAGGUGAUAGAAAGUUCCUUGAGAAGAAGGGACCAGUAGAGCUGCAUUGACAAUAAGAAUUAACGAAGAAAGAAAGAAAAGAAGAGAUGUUAAAGAGGCAUUGGGUUGCUUGCCUGAGGGUGUUGAACAGAAAAGUUGUGAAAGAGGGGAUAACUGGUAAUAGGGUCUUUGUAGGAAGAUCCUAAAAGCUGAGGGGCAUGAGUUUCCAUGAAACGGCCAAGGUUGGUGCGUUUGGAGUGGUCCCUGAAAGAAAGAAGAGAAGUGAGUGAAGAUUGUAGUAGUGAAAAGUGUGAGAAGCAGAGAAAGACUUACAGAGAAGGGAACCAAUAGAGUGGAAGAGAAGCAUGAUGAGUGUGGAAGGCAGAGUGAUAAACAGAGUGGAAGAGAAGGUGAUGCAAGGAGUGUGGAAAGGAUGGUUUGAGGAGUUUGAGAGAGACAAGGUGGCGCCAUAUGAGUGAAGGGUGGUUGUCGGAGUGGGAGGGAUAGUGAGAGAGAAUAUCCCUCAAAACGCCGUAGAGUUCAUUGGCUUGUGCCAGUGUCAACCCUGCAUUCACCAAAUCUUCCACUUCCAAUUCCCUCACGCUCUUCACCAUCGCUUUCUCUCCUCUUUCAACCCUCCAACUUGAAUCAAAAUUUGCAGAGGGGUUCUUCAGUUUUUGAAUUUGAUCAUGCAGUCUCUUCACACCACCUAACACUUCCAACCCAUUAUUGUUAGAAAAAAAAGUAUGUUGACAAGCUUGACUUCCCUGUAUUACACCUACCCACAUACCAAUUUAAGGGAUUUUUUUGUUGUCAUAAUAGAGUAAUUUUAUAUGGAUAAUUUUUAAAAUAUUAUUAAAAUAUUUAAUAUUUAUUAAGUUGAUAUAAUUUUAUUGUGAAAAAAUUAUAACAAAAUAACACCAAUUUAAUAUAUUUAACACGGUUUUAAUAUAAUUAGUUGUCAACUCAAAUAAUGUAAGACACUAUAAUAUGUCAAACUAACAUCACUUUUGAUCAAUUUUUUAAUUUUACCUAUUUUAUUAAGUAAUCUAUAAAAUUAUGUUAAUUUAGUAAAAAACUGAUUUAACGGAUAAGAGUACCUGUAUUAGGUAAAUAAGUCAGUGUUCAGUUAAUAAUUAAAUUGAUUGACUCAAAUAUAUAUUAAAAAAAUAAAAUUUACAAAACUAACAUAGAAUUAAUUUUAAAAGUAAAAUAUAUUUUUAUUAUAAAAUAAUUUAUAUUAAAAUAAAAAUAAUGAUAAGAAUAAUAGAAAGAUUUGGAUGAAAUGCUUGAGUUGAGAGCAUUCUGGAAAAGAUAACGAACCAAAUGUUGGAAGCUAUUAAAAAGGUUAGUUAAAAUGCGGUUGGUGAGUUUGAGGUCCCAAAGUUGACCACAAGGUAGCACUGUAGUAGGUGAUGCCUCUCCUCACAACCAACCAACCACAUUUUUUGAAAAGCAGAAAUAAAAAAUCUUAACAUAUAUUUUAUAAAAGAGUUCUAGAAGUAUAUUUUUAUUCAAAUAUUUUUUUAUUUAAAACUAUUUGUCGUCAUUUUAGAAGUAUAUUUUUAGAAUGACAGAUUAAAUACAGGUUGAAAUAGAUAUUUCAUCAUUUUUUAAAAGUAUUUUUUUUAAAUGACAGAUUAAAUAUAGGUUGAAAUAGAUAUGGUGUAGAAAGAAUUUGCCUCUCAAUUUUAGAUUGCACUCCAACAUCAUACAGACGUAUAAGCACAUUCUAAAUUCUUUUAAGAAUGCCUAAGAUACUAGGAAUUAUAAAUGAAGAGCAAAUAUAACAUUUAAAUUAAUGUUUAUACAAAUAUAUAAAUAAAUUAGCUUUUCAAUAUAGUGUUGAACAAUUUUGUUACUAGUCAUGAUUUUAAAACAGUUAGUUUAUAAAAAUAUAUUUAAAGAAACAAAAGUAAAAUAUAUACUAAUACAGCAUACAGUUUUAAAUCUCGUACUGCAUCUCAAUUUCCAAAACUUUUCAAAUACAUGGUCAUUCUUACUUUUCAUAGAUAUAUGAAAUUGGAUUAAAUAGAAUCCAUAACUUCGUAAAAAAUCUAAAAUUCCCAAAAUUAAAUUUAAAAGGCAUGUUCAUUUUUUUUACUUAAACAAAAGACAUGUUUAUAAGUCUUUGUUGUUGUUACCCCAGAUUUAGUUAAACAAACAAAUUUAAUAUAACAAAAUAAAUGAAAACAAGAACAGAGAAAAUAAUUAAAAGCAUGUGAUGAUAAAUAACCAUUUUCCAGGUACAACUAUGAAGAAUCAACUAAGACACUCUCUGGAACAAGCAGCAAGGAGGAGUUGCUAUAGAAUUAUUAACUAUCAUUUUCUCAUUUACAUAAAUAGUGGAACAGAAAGGACACUUGAACCACAUUCACUUGGCAAAUCGAACAGU